AGGGAAAUAAAAGAAGCUUAAUAUUAUUUAUCCCAUUGCCGGAUCCUCAUAUAUAUUUUUUGGACAUAUGAAAGUAUUAUAGGUAAAUUAAAUAAAAAUUUGGACAAAUUAAUUACAAGCCUUUGGAAGAUUAAUAUUAACCAUCAGAUGGUCGCAAAUAGGAAGAUUCAUUAAAUACUACAAAACUAUGGAAGUUAAUUAUACAUAAUAAUUCUUAGUAAAAUAUGGAUUAUAAUUUUGUGAAAAUACAGCUGUUUCAAACUAAUUAAUUGCCUUUUCAUAAAAAACACUCCUGAAGAAGUCGACAUACGACGAAACGCGUUGAGUGUAAAAAUCUUUUAUUGUUUGGAAAAGUUGUUAUUCAAUUUUUUGGCUGUAAUGAACAAUAACACAUUGUAAAAGUGUACAUCAUUUUUUAUCA